GAUGAACGCUGGCGGCGUGCCUAAUACAUGCAAGUCGAGCGAACGGACGAGGAGCUUGCUCCUCUGACGUUAGCGGCGGACGGGUGAGUAACACGUGGAUAACCUACCUAUAAGACUGGGAUAACUUCGGGAAACCGGAGCUAAUACCGGAUGAUAUAUUGAACCGCAUGGUUCAAUAGUGAAAGACGGUUUUGCUGUCACUUAUAGAUGGAUCCGCGCCGCAUUAGCUAGUUGGUAAGGUAACGGCUUACCAAGGCAACGAUGCGUAGCCGACCUGAGAGGGUGAUCGGCCACACUGGAACUGAGACACGGUCCAGACUCCUACGGGAGGCAGCAGUAGGGAAUCUUCCGCAAUGGGCGAAAGCUUGACGGAGCAACGCCGCGUGAGUGAUGAAGGUCUUCGGAUCGUAAAACUCUGUUAUUAGGGAAGAACAAAUGUGUGAGUAACUAUGCACGUCUUGACGGUACCUAAUCAGAAAGCCACGGCUAACUACGUG
rnacentral:rRNA from 1 species